UUGUAUAAUGGGUCAGCGACUUAUUGUCUGUAGCAAGCUUAACCGUAUAGGGGAGGCGUAGGGAAACCGAGUCUUAAUAGGGCGUUUAGUUGCAGGCAAUAGACCCGAAACCGGGCGAUCUAUCCAUGGCCAGGCUGAAGGUUGGGUAACACUAACUGGAGGGCCGAACCCACUAAUUUUGAAAAAUUAGGGGAUGAGCUGUGGAUCGGAGUGAAAGGCUAAUCAAGCCCGGAGAUAGCUGGUUCUCCUCGAAAUCUAUUUAGGUAGAGCGUCGUGUCUUACCCUGGGGGGUAGAGCACUGUUUGGGCUAGGGGGUCAUCC
rnacentral:rRNA from 1 species